UACGGGGGGGGCAAGCGUUGUUCGGAAUUACUGGGCGUAAAGGGCUCGUAGGCGGCCAACUAAGUCAGACGUGAAAUCCCUCGGCUUAACCGGGGAACUGCGUCUGAUACUGGAUGGCUGGAGUUUGGGAGAGGGAUGCGGAAUUCCAGGUGUAGCGGUGAAAUGCGUAGAGAUCUGGAAGAACACCGAAGGCGAAGGCAGCGUUCUGGGAAGCAACUGACGCUCAUGUGCGAAAGCCAGGGGAGCGAACGGG
rnacentral:rRNA from 1 species